AUAUAUUGAGGUGCAAUUUAGAAUAAUUAUUGUAUUUUUUCUGUUCUCGUUCCACAACUGAUUCAAGGCCUUUAGAAAUGUGGUUUCUGUUAUUAUUAUCGGCAUUGUUUGUUUCUGCCAAUGGUGCAAAUCCUACGACUGUAUCCGUCUACUAUGAAACCCUCUGCCCAGCUUGUGUGUAUUUUUUCAAAAAUCAGCUCGGUCCAGCUUACUAUCAAAUCGGAGAUAAGAUAAAAGUGGACCUGUUACCUUAUGGAAAUAGUAGA